UUAGGUAGUAUUAGUUAUGAUCUUGAAACUUAAAAAAUUUGGCGGUAUUUUAGUCUAUUCAGAGGAACUUGUUUUAUAAUCGAUAAUCCACGAUGGACCUUACUUAAAUUUGUAAUCAGUUUAUAUACCGUUGUUAUUAGAAUAUUUUAUAAGAAUUUUAAUUUUCAUAAUUUUUUAUAAUAAAAUAUAUCAGAUCAAGGUGUAGCUUAUAUUUAAGUAAAAAUGAGUUACAAUAAAUUUAUUUAUAUGAAUAUAAAUUUGAAAUAUUUAUUGAAGGUGGAUUUGAUAGUAAAAUUAUAAAGAUAAAUAAU
rnacentral:rRNA from 1 species